CGUGGCGCCGCCGGCGGCCCAGGCCUCCUUCCGGCUCGGGUAGAGGCCGCGGGGAGCACUUCGGGACCUAGCAGAGCGGAGCUGAGGGAGCCGGCGGGCCGCUCGACCCGCUGCAGACUUCGGAGAUGACUGGGACGAGGAGACCACCUUCUCAAGGCAAAAGGAAAAGGAGGUGACAGGCCUUGAGACCACUGAAGGGAACCCAUGGCUAGGAUCAGUUUUUCCUACCUCUGCCCAGCCUCCUGGUACUUCACUGUGCCCACAGUGAGCCCAUUUCCCCGGCAGCGGGUGGCAUUCCUAGGACUCUUCUUCAUAUCCUGUCUCCUCCUUUUACUUAUGUUAAUCAUGGACUUUCGACAUUGGGGUGCUUCAUUACCACGAGACAGGCAAUACGAAAGGUAUUUGGCUCGAGUAGGAGAUCUUGAAGCUACUGACACUGAAGACCCAAAUCUAAAUUAUGGACUUGUUGUGGACUGUGGCAGCAGUGGCUCUCGGAUUUUUGUUUAUUUCUGGCCAAGACAUAAUGGGAAUCCUCAUGACUUGCUGGACAUCAAACAGAUGAGAGACCGUAACAGCCAACCAGUGGUUAAAAAAAUCAAGCCAGGAAUCUCUGCAAUGGCAGACACUCCAGAACAUGUCAGCGAUUACCUUCGUCCUCUGCUGAGCUUUGCUGCUGCUCAUGUGCCUGUGAGGAAGCACAAGGAGACCCCCCUUUACAUCCUAUGCACAGCAGGCAUGAGGCUUCUCUCCGAGAGGAAGCAGUUGGCUAUCUUGGCCGAUCUAGUGAAAGAUUUACCUCUGGAGUUUGACUUCCUCUUUUCUCAGUCUCAGGCAGAAGUGAUCUCUGGGAAGCAGGAAGGGGUUUAUGCAUGGAUUGGAAUCAACUUUGUUUUGGGAAGAUUCGACCAUGAGGAUGAAUCAGAUGCCGAGGCUCCCCAGGAAUUGGCAACAGGACGCAGAAGGACAGUAGGGAUACUGGAUAUGGGAGGAGCCUCUCUCCAAAUUGCUUAUGAAGUUCCUACCUCAACUUCUGUCCUUUCUCCACAACAGGAAGAAGCUGCGAAGAUCUUGCUGGCCGAGUUCAACCUGGGCUGUGAUGUGCAACACACUGAACAUGUGUAUAGGGUUUAUGUCACAACCUUUCUGGGAUUCGGGGGCAACUUUGCCCGGCAGCGCUAUGAAGACCUUGUGAUGAAUGAAACUCUUAACAAAAACAGGUUGCUGGGCCAGAAGACAGGUCUGAGUCCCGACAAUCCAUUUCUAGAUCCCUGCCUGCCUGUGGGACUCACGGAUGUGGUGGAAAGGAGCAGCCAGGUCCUUCAUGUCCGAGGAAGAGGGGACUGGGUGGCUUGCGGGGCCAUGCUGAGCCCGCUGUUGGCUCGCUCCAACACCAGCCAGGCCUCGCUGAAUGGCAUCUACCAGUCACCCAUUGACUUCAACAACAGCGAGUUCUACGGUUUCUCCGAGUUCUUUUACUGUACAGAGGAUGUGUUACGCAUCGGUGGGCGCUACCACGGGCCAACAUUUGCCAAGGCUGCUCAGGAUUACUGUGGCAUGGCUUGGUCAGUACUCACUCAGAGAUUCAAGAAUGGCCUCUUUUCAUCACAUGCAGAUGAGCAUCGACUCAAAUAUCAGUGUUUUAAGUCAGCUUGGAUGUACCAAGUUCUUCAUGAAGGAUUCCACUUUCCCCAUGACUACCCAAAUCUGCAGACAGCCCAGCUGGUCUAUGACCGAGAGGUUCAGUGGACACUGGGAGCCAUUUUGUAUAAAACACGCUUCUUACCACUCAGGGAUCUACGGCAGGAAGGUGCCCGACAGGCCCAUGGUAGCUGGUUCCGUCUCUCCUUUGUGUACAACCACUAUCUUUUCUUUGCCUGUAUCCUGGUGGUGCUACUGGCCAUCAUCCUGUACCUUCUGCGGCUACGCCGAAUUCACCACCGACAAAGUCGAGCCUCAACCCCAUUGGACUUACUGUGGAUCGAGGAGGUGGUGCCCAUGAUUGGGGUACAGGUUGGGCCAUGAGGCUGGACAGGUUCUAGGGGAACUCAAGUAUUCAGAAUUGCUGCCCAUUGAAUUCCACCACUUUCUGGUACUGGCCUCAGAUGCUGCUUUGCCUGACUUUGUGGAUAUUUGGCCUUGAAAUUUCUACUUUAAUACCUACUUUAAUUCAUUCUCAAUAUCCAGGUCCUCUUCUCUGAGAGAAGCUGUAAUUUAGUCUAUGAAGAACUAAAUGAGAGAUUGGUGCUAACAAAGGGAACCAACUUUAGUCCAAUUGAAGCAUGCUUCUACUCCUUUAUCUGAGUGAUCUGGUGUGCUCCUGGAAUCUAGACUUUUCUCCCCUUGCUUAAAGCUUGAAGUUUGGCAUUGGGCACACUGGAAGUCUGGUUGAAACCAAACUUGGAGCAUCUGAUUCAAAGCCGAAGACAUUCUAGCAAGUGCAGCAGCCCCUUCUUUCUCUGUAACAGAGAUAUCACUUAUGUGGAGAUCCACAGCCUUUAAUAGGGAUCCAAGAUCUUUGCAGUUCAGCGGAACAGAUAAGAAUUUCCAGGCAACCAAAAUAACACAGCUUCUUUGCUUACUCGACAAAGAAGCCAUUGUGAGUGUGGUCCAAGAUCCCUGACAUACUGUUGCUGAUGUUAGUUUGUGAUUUUAAAAGAGCUGUCCACGAUGACAGUUUCAACCAGACUUGACUUAUUCCAAAAUGCUGUGUGGCAGUGGGGACUGAGCCCACACAAGGUAACUUGCCCAAGCUCCAGCAUCCCAUCUGGAUAUGAGGCCCCUGGGCCUCUCUCUGGGUGCACUACUACCAUCUCACAUUCAACGUACCUCAGUCUGAUGACAUCCUCUGUCUCUAGCUCAACACUCAUUCCAAUAGUCCCAUUUCUGCUGGUGUGUUUUAAACAUGCCACAGAAGAAACUCUGGGAUCUCCUUUGAUCCUUCUUUACCUUUAUUCCUGCAGCCAGUCUUCUAUUCCCUACAACCUCUCUCAGAUUCACCAUUCUUCUCAAGUCCCAGUCCCACCAUUAAGCCCUGAACCCCAUCACUCUCACGGCAUUACUACAAUAGCACUACUGCUUCUCCCGGGUCUCCUUGCUGCUGAUCUUUCCCUGCUCCAAUUUAUCGUGCCCAGGCCACCAAGCUGAUCUUAUAG